GCAUGCAUGAUAAAUCGUUAUAAUAAAAACGAUGUAUAGUGAUACUUUUAAAUAUCGGUACAGAUAAAAAAAAAUUAUGCCAGCUAAAUUACUGACACUAUUAAAGUGUUAUUAUAUGUGGGGUCGCUAAAUAUAUAGCACUUGCCAGCUUAAAAAUGUCGAUAUAAGCUAAAAAGAAUGCUGCUAAUUUAUCAUUUAUUAAGCAUAUAGCAGCCGCCAGAACUUUACCUCGUCGGCUCACUACAACAAAAUUAGGUUAUAGGGACACAUAUUUGGGACACUUUUGAAUAAGUGUUCCAUUUAUACUAAAACUUAAAAAAACAUCUACUAAGGCCUAAAUAUAAAGCCCAAUCCAAUCAAAAAUAAAAGAUUAUUCUACUCAACCCACCACACCCAGUCCAUUUGGCCCGAUUACAAACAGAAAAGAAAAAAAAAAAGAAAAUUCAAUUACCAUCUUUUCUUCUCUCUUCAUUCAAUCCACUGAAAUUCUAGACGAAGAGCCUUUUUUGUCGUCCUCAUCCGCUACUGCAGCCAAUGCGAUAGAGUUUCGGCGAUUGCUAAAUGCUUAAAUAAGUAUUGGUAAAUUAGCAGUACUCUUUUAGGUUAUAGCGACACUCUUUAACAGUCACUAUAUAUCUAGCGACCCCAUAUAUAGCAACACUUUUUAAAAGUGUCGGUAAUUUUAGCUAGCAGCACUUUUUUGACAUGUACCUACAUUUAAAAGUGUCGCUAUAGACCGUUUUUGUUAUAGUGGCUGCGGUGGCAGAGGAGGAGGAGAACGAGAGGCUCUUCAUCUAGAAUUUCAGAGAAUUGAGUGAGUGGAGAAGGAGAAAUGGUAAUUGAUUUUUCUAUUUUUUUUUUCUUUUCUAUUUGUAAUCGGCCCGAGUAGGCUGGGUGAGGUGGAUUAAGUAGAGUAAGUUUUUGUUUUUGGUUGGAUUGGACUUUAUAUUUAGGUUUUAGUAGAUCUUUUUAAAAAGUUUUGGCUGGGACACUUAAACAAAAUUGUUUCAAAAUGUGUCCCUAGCUAUUAUCUAAUUCUGUUGUAGUGAAUGCAUUUGUCUGGACUCGAGAUUUUUUAAUAGUGUGAAUUUUUUUGUUUGAUGCUCUUUAACUAAUGAUAUCCAAAUCGCAAGUAAAUGGAGGAAAUUAAAUGAGGCAAUUGAUUAUAUUGCUGAUUCGAACUCAGAAUCCUCUACUAUGCUAUGUGAAUCAGUCGUUUCUCUUUUUCAAAAACUUAAAUUGUGGAAAAACUAAAGGCAAAAAAAAAAGAAUUUUAGUAUUAUAUAUAUAUUGGACAAAUAUAAAUAUGCAUAUCAUCCCCAGCAACGUUGUGUCCAAGCUGCAUGCUUCCGCCAAAAGCUGCGCGGAUCUCUGCGCCAAAAUUCGUACUGAGGGGGGUGGUAGUUGACAUGCAUGAGGACAACUCCCCGAGGUGGCCCAUGCAUAUGCAUGCAUGAUCACGCCCCCCCGCCCCCUCUUUCUCAUCUCUCUCUCUCCUCUCUUCUCUCUCUCUAAUCUCUCUUCCUAUCUAUCACUCUCCUCUCUCUCUAUCCUCUCUCUCCUCUCCUUGAUUGAUCCAUUGCUAUCAAUCCAGUACGUAUGAGACCAUAUGUCUAGUAAACUUUGCAUCACAUGCACUGAGGCGGGGUCAGGCCUCGUGCUCGAUAUCGUUUCCUGAUCUUCGUAGCGUGGUCUAUCCGCGCAGUUUUGAUUCGGGUAUUUCUGACUAGUUCAUGAGGGCCGACGACUGUCCCGCAGUAUCAAUGAAUUAAUUUGUACCUAAUAAUCAAUACAGAUUUUGAUAUAAGCAACGAUUAUAUAGAUGUGUUUGUGUGUAAUAUAGAGCUACUAUAUACUCGAAGUAUAGAGUAUUUGAUUAUGAUUUUUUUACUUCCUGUGAUCAAAAAUUGUAAGCCGAUUGGAUGAAUUGCGAUUCACCCCUAAUAUUGAAUAGUCUUUCUAGGGUUGAGUUCCACAUGUUAAUAGUAUUAAUUCAAAGAUUAAAAUUCAUUAAUGAAAUCUGAUCUAAGUACUAAAAAGUGAAUACCAAUGUUUUUGCUUUGAUAACUAUAUUACUCAUCUUAUAUAUAUAUAUAUAUAUAGUAAAUUAAGACCCAAUAAUAUAUAAAAUACAAAAGCUACUAUACUAUCUAUAGUAUCGGAGCACCGGUACUAUAAUCUUGUUUUCGAUCUUAGAAAUAAAAUUUUAGUUUUUUUCGACAUCGUUUACUUAGCAAAUAAAUUAUGUCAAAAUGGAUGGUGAAAAUUGAAUAAUCUUUAAAAUCAAGAAUGUUAACCUUAAUUUAGAUAGUUUAAAAUAUUUUCUAUCAAAAUUUGAAGAAAUUUAGAUUCUUCUACACCGCUAAACUCCAAACUCGUCAUAGUAGCCAUUGAAAAUUGACAAUUUUGAAAUGGUUUGAUCAUAAAGUAAACUAUGUCGAAAAAAUAUAAAAUUUUAUUUCUAAAAACAUUAAAUACCCUAUUUCAGUUUUAACGGUGUGGAUCGUUGAUUUGAACACCCUAAAAUCGAAAACGAGACUAUAUAUAGUACCGAAGCCCCGAUACUAUGAUAGUAUAGGAGACUAGCUAUAUAUAUAAUUGAGCUCCUAUGCUUUUAAAAGUACCAAGUUAUUGGUGCUUGUAAGUUUUUGACCCCUUGGAUUAAAGGAUGUGCGGUUAGGAUGAUGUGGGCCCCCUAGGGUUGAGUGGGUGGUUUGUUGAAUAGUAUAAUCUAAUGGAUAAAAAUGAUCAAAGGCAGAGAUCUAACGGUAAAAGAAUUACAAGCACCGAGUGCUUGGUACUUUUACAAGUACCAUAGCCAGACUCUAAUAUAUAUAUAUAUAUAGUUUGACUGGGCUACUAUCGGUAGUAAACAGCUCAAUUUACUACCGAUUUGUUUUUAUGAUAGAGCUUCCAAAUUGACGAUCGGCACCGUUGAAUAUGAUCUAGACCAUUUAAAUUAUCUAGAAAUCAAAUUUCAUGAUUUUUUGGUAUCACUAACUGAACGAUCAAAGGGUCACAAAAUCUAUAAUUUUAAUGGCUGAUAUGGUGCGUUUGCUCGUUCAACGGUAUAGAAGAGUUCAAAUCAACUAAAUUUUUGUUAAAAAUUCUUUAAACUAUUUAAAAUAAGAUCUAGACUCUAUAUCUCAAAUAUAACGUAUCAUCACUUUUUGAAGGAUAUUCAUUUCCAGCCAUUCAUUUUUAUGUUCACUUGAUAGACAAGAGAACAAUAUCGAAAAUGUGUGAAAUUUGAUUUACGGAUAGUUUAAAUAAUUUAGAUCAUGUUUAACGAUGCCGAUCAUCAAUUUGGAAGUUCUAUCAUCGGAAAUAAAUCGAUAGUAAAUCGAGCCGUUUACUACUAAUAGUAUUCCAACAAAACUCAAUAUAUA
rnacentral:lncRNA from 1 species